AAGCAACAUCGAAAGGCGAAAGAGUCAGAAGAAAAACGAAACUAAAUUCAAAGAAAAACAAAAUUCGUUCUCUUCCUUCCAUUUCCCUUUUCAUAUCACCUUCGCUAGACAGUUUCUGCAUUUGGUUUUUCAUUGGUGGCAGCAGUCAGACGUGUCGAAACUUGUUCCAAGUUCUCCGCCAUUUUUUUUUUCAUUUCGUUUCACGUGUCAAUGGUGUCAUUUAGUUCAGAUUUCUUUAAGCGUCGAUUACAAUUCAUUGCUUUGCAUGUGCUAACAGCCAGCACAUCCAUAGUUGGAUUUUACACCAACGAUUUUGUUCAGAAUAGCAAAAUCAUGAAGGGGACAACCUCAGUAGUCUAUGGUUUUAUUUAAGGUUCUUCGUCUAUACGAUCAAUUGUCAGCUUCCAACCGAAUCCAAACACGCACACCUUGAAAAAAAGUUGCAUCGUUUCUUCAUUUACCUACACAGGUAAAGCCAUGGCUCACUCAUCCAGAAAAUGUGAAUUGGUAAUAUUGUUGAGCUAAUCAUUGACCCGCUAACCAAACUGAUAGCCCGUCCAAGCUGUUAUUGUUUGUCUAGAUCUUGCAGAAUGGGAAAAACACAAAAGGCGACGAAAACCAAACAAGAUUUUUAUUUUCCCGUUUUGUAAUGCUUAUCUCACCUAAACGGAGUUUGUCAACAAAGAUGUCAUCUUCUCUAUCAGCAUCAAAAUAAGCAUGCAAGGCAGCCACUGAUAACAGCACAAAACCUUUUCUCGCCAAUAAAUUACGACGCAUCUCCUAC
rnacentral:lncRNA from 1 species